AAUAUUGGACAAUGGGCGGAAGCCUGAUCCAGCCAUGCCGCGUGUGUGAAGAAGGUUUUCGGAUUGUAAAGCUCUUUAUUCUGGGAGGAAUGGCAGUUAACGACUACUUAACUGUCUUGACGUUACCAAAUGAAAAAGCACCGGCUAACUUCGUGCCAGCAGCCGCGGUAAUCCGUAGGGUGCAAGCGUUAAUCGGAAUUACUGGGCGUAAAGCGCGCGUAGGUGGGUCGUUAGGUUGGAAGUGAAAGCCCCCGGCUCAACCUGGGAACUGCAUCCAAAACUGGCGAGCUAGAGUACGGUAGAGGGUAGUGGAAUUUCCUGUGUAGCGGUGAAAUGCGUAGAUAUAGGAAGGAACACCAGUGGCGAAGGCGACCACCUGGACUGAUACUGACACUGAGGUGCGAAAGCGUGGGGAGCAAACAGG
rnacentral:rRNA from 1 species